GGCAAAGCCCAACCAGCCCAGCUGUAGGCAGUGUUGUGGAACAGAGUGCAGGCCCUGGCCAGGAGAGAGGUGCACAGAAACGUGAAAGCAAUCUUAGGGAAUCUGGGUUUCUUUACUGAUCAUGGAGACUUGAGAAUUCCCUUUAGGGUGGCCUUCUCUACCAGCACCAUGACUUAUCCCUGCCGCAACAAGAUGAAUGUCUCUGGGGGAGUCGGGGAGUGGGAGAGAAGGAGGGUGUCUCCCCAAACUUCCAGAGUUUCAGGCUGUCAAGCUUGCCAAAAUGAUCGUCUGUUCUCAGUAUCCUUCCUGAGCUAAAGCCAUACUGUAUUCAGACCUUAAGUCAGGAGGAUUCUCUCUCCUUAUCUCCGUAGCACAGCUUGUUACUGGGUUCUGAAGGAGAGCUGCAAGUGUACCUGGGUCUCAGAGAAUCCUUGUGAAACCAACUUUUCUUGCUUCUGUCUGUAGCUGCCCCCUUGCUCCCAGAGUUUAGAUAUGACCAUGGGGAUGACUGAAGAAAAAGAUCCUCUUUGUAGUUUCUUUCUACUCCAUGCAGAUGAACUCAUGGAAACAGAUGACUGUAAACACAUCAAAAAUUCCCAGUCUGACCUGAAUUCUACCUGUUGAUGCAACUUUAUCCUAAAUUUGUCUUCCACUGAAUACCCCUCCAAAGAAACACACACACACACAGAAAAUCUCUCUGUAAAUAUAAAUGUUGCAGUCGGGUUUAAUUUGUUCUAUUCACCCAUGCAAAAAUCUUUAAUGAGGGGGCCAACCCCAGCGGCCUCCUGGUUAAGUUCAAAUGUUCCACUUGUGCGGCCCUGGUUCAUUUCCCGGGCACAGACCUCUACUGCUCGGUUAGCAGCCAUGCUGUGCUGGUGGCUCACUUACAAAAUAGAGGAAGAUUGGCACAGAUGUUAGAUAAGGGCAAAUCUUCCUCAGAAAAAAUUAAAAAACAAACAAAAAACUUUAAUGAAAGUUUGACAUGCCAAAAAAAUAGAAAAAUUAUCUGAUACAGAGUAUCAAAUGAAUAAGACAGUUUCUUAUAUAGCAUACAUAUGUAGUCUCCACAAGAACAGUAAAC
rnacentral:lncRNA from 1 species